UUAAGUUGGAUGUGAAAUCCUAUGGCUCAACCAUAGAACUGCAUCCAAAACUGAGGGGCUAGAGUCUGGGAGGGGAAGAUGGAAUUAGUGGUGUAGGGUAAAAUCCGUAGAGAUCACUAGGAAUACCAAAAGCGAAGGCGAUCUUCUGGAACAGUACUGACGCUGAGGCGCGAAAGCGUGGGGAGCAAACAGGAUUAGAUACCCUGGUAGUCCACGCCCUAAACUAUGAAUGUUAGUCGUCGGGAGGCUCGUCCUCUCGGUGAUGCAGCUAACGCAUUAAACAUUCCGCCUGGGGAGUACGGUCGCAAGAUUAAAACUCAAAGGAAUAGACGGGGACCCGCACAAGUGGUGGAGCAUGUGGUUUAAUUCGAAGAUACGCGAAGAACCUUACCUGGCCUUGACAUUGAUAGAAUCUGCUAGAGAUAGCGGAGUGCCCUUCGGGGAGCUUGAAAACAGGUGCUGCACGGCUGUCGUCAGCUCGUGUCGUGAGAUGUUGGGUUAAGUCCCGCAACGAGCGCAACCCUCGUCACUAGUUACUAACGGUUCGGCCGAGGACUCUAGUGAGACUGCCUUCGUAAGGAGGAGGAAGGUGAGGACGACGUCAAGUCAUCAUGGCCCUUACGGCCAGGGCGACACACGUGCUACAAUGGGAUGUACAAUGAGACGCAAUACCGCGAGGUGGAGCAAAUCUAUAAAGCAUCUCUCAGUUCGGAUUGUAGUCUGCAACUCG
rnacentral:rRNA from 1 species